GACAGAGGUGCCGAGCGUUAGGCGGAAUCACUGGGCUUAAAGGGCGCGUAGGCGGGCUGUCAAGUCUGGGGUGAAAUCCCGCGGCUCAACCGUGGAACUGCCUUAGAUACUGACGGCCUCGAGGAAGGUAGGGGCAUGCGGAACUGUAGGUGGAGCGGUGAAAUGCGUUGAUAUCGGAAGGAACGCCGGUGGCGAAAGCGGCGUGCUGGACCUCUUCUGACGCUGAGGCGCGAAAGCCAGGGGAGCAAACGGG
rnacentral:rRNA from 1 species